CUUUAUCACCUUACUACUUUACCUUUGUAAACAUCACACACGUGGAUCAUGGCUAAUUUCAUUGUGAGACUUGCAGAACCAGGCGAUUGCGAACAGAUCGCAGACCUAAUAAAGGUAAGAUGAAAUAAACGCUAGAAAUCACUUAUCAGGUCUUCAGUAUUAAUAAACUUUCCUAUGCCAAGGUUUGCUUAUUAUCACCUCUUGUGUAAUUUAAUUACCUCCCUUUUUAGUAUCUAAAGUUUAUUUGCCGCGGAAUUUUGAUUUUUGUUUUAUGUAGUCAUGUGUCACCGUAUGAACUGUAAAAAAAUAGGAGCAUAUUAAUACAAAUGUGAGUAUGCCGUUAUGAUUUAUGUAAUAAUAAAAACCUUUUAAGGCAGAUUUACUUUUCAUAGUACCGCCACCUUGGUUUGUGCCUAGCUACAAUAGCAGUAUACAAUCGGGGCCACAAUUAAAAAUAUUUUGGUUUGCCCAAACCCUACCCAAAGGUUGAGACAGUGGGUAGGUAGGCAUUUUCUUUUUUUUUUUUUUUCAAAGAGAGAAAUUGAAGUAUCGGGUGUUUAUUAGUCUUCAUGCCUAUCUGAUAAAAAAAACUUCUUCAAAUCAGGACAAUAAAAGAAUUUGAGUAGGCAGCGUUUUUCUGAGUAGGUAGCGUUUGGGCAAACAAACCUAUUCUUUUUUAUGGCCCGGUCAAGUUCUUUGUAAAAAAAAAGGGGGGUAUACUGUUUUACCUCUGUCUGUCCAUCCAUCCAUCCUUCCGUCGUCAUUCCGUCAGUUCAUCAGUCUGUCAGUCCGUCCGUCCCAUGAAUAUUUUUCGUCGCAUUUUUCUCAGGAACUACAAUACAAGGAUUUCUGAAAUUUGGUUUCAGGGUUUAUGUAAGUGUGUUUUACCGUGUGAUGCGUUUUCAGAUUCAUCACUCGACAACUUCCUGUUUACCGAUCACUUUAAUCUUGUAUGAUUUUACACAUGAUAGCCAAGUUGAAAAUUUUCGUCACAUUUUUCUCAGGAACUACAAUACAAAGGAUUUCUGAAAUUUGGUUACAGGGUUUAUAUAAGUCAGCCAUACCGUGUGAUGCGUUUUCAGAUUCAUCACUCGACAACUUUCUGUUUACCGAUCACUUGUAUGAUUUUACACAUGAUAGCCAAGUUGAAAAUUUUCGUCACAUUUUUCUCAGGAACUACAAUACAAGGAUUUCUGAAAUUUGGUUUCAGGGUUUAUAUAAGUCAGCUAUACCGUGUGCUGCGUUUUCAGAUUCAUCACUUGACAACUUUCUGUUUACCGAACACUUGCAUAUUUUACACUAUUAAUAUUAUCCACUUGCGGCGGGGGUAUCAUCAGUGAGCAGUAGCUCGCAGUUUCACUUGUUAUAAUCAUAUUACAAGUUGACAUUUUUUGGGAGAUAACUCUUAUAGUACAAUGUUAUACUGGAAUGAUAGUGAAAUUUUAAUAUUUUACUUGUAACCAGAAAACAAGUUCGGUGGCACCAUUCUUAUUUUUUUAUUUUCUUAAAGCAUAUAAUAAAACCUAUCUUUCCAUAUUUUAUUUUAAAAUGUCAUAGCUUUUUUUACAUUCACACAACAGUUUUUUUAAUUAUGAUAUGUUAUUAAAAUAAAAUCAAUUCAAUUGGUUUGCAGGAACUUGCUGUAUACGAAAAAAUGGAGGAACAAGUGAAGAUCACUGCAGAUGGUGUGUAAUUGCAUUUUAAUCAUUUUAUACCUGUUCGGGGUGGGGGAUACCCCAACAUUUUAGCACUGAGGUGCACUUAGAAAUUGUAUAUUUUCUCAACCCAUUCGUGUUUGACAAAAGAAAGUAAUUUCUUCUGGUAAAUAUCUAGUUAAGCGGUUUACAACCCAUGCUCCUGUUACUUUAUUUUAUAUAAUAAAAAGCAUUUGGCAUUGAGCGACAAUUUAUUUGAUAUUAAGCAACACUGAGUUGUUAGGAUAACUCAAGCCAAUAUUUCGUUAAUAAAAAGACAAAAAAAGACAAACAUAUACAUAUAUUACAGCCUAUGAAUUUAAAUAAGUCAAGUGUUCUGUGCUCACUGCUGAUGUAUAAUAAUUGAUUCCGAUAUCACCAUCUACGAUGUUUAUAAUUCAUUUUCAAGCUUGCACAGUUACAGUAGCACGGAAUCUUUUAUCAAUUUUCUGCUGAUAUCUUUCUUCGAUGCAUCUACAUUCAAACUUAUUAUUCAUUCCUACCAAAUCAUUUGCGACAUGCAUGUGUUUGUCUUAAAUCUGAUUGAUCAUCAUUGAUGCAUAAAAAACUUUCCGAUGCACACUACAAUUUGAAAAAAAAGAGAUGCGAAGAAAUAGAUAAAAGAUGAACCUGAUAGAGAUUACAUUAACGUUUUGGUACAUUACAUCUGAUCCUUUAAUUAUUCAGAUAAAGUUUUCAAGAUAAUGGUAAACAAAAAUCUAAUGUUAGUUGACAAUGUAAAGGGCAACACGUUAAUAUGAUGGUGAUACGUCUGGUAACGCUUAUGGAUCUUGAAAGUAGUAUCUAUCGAGUCAAUAUAAUACUUCCAUGGAGAGAUAUUCUAAUAAUUUUGUCUGCGUCAUUUUCUUUUUUCUUCACAAUAUUGGACAUGCACAAUUCCCUGAAUUGCAUUAUAAUCAGAUUAAAAUCUUUUAUCUCAUUUUUGUUUUCAAACUGAAAUAGAAGAUUCUAAAUUCAAUCGCAAUAUCUUUAUAGUAAUACGUAAUAUAUAAUAAUUCCUUCAUGUCAUGGUGUAUACUCGUGGGUAGGCUUUAUAUUUAUAUUUGUAGAUAUUUUACACCGAGCGUAGUUUGAUCUUUUCGGCAUUUAACUGGGAGGUCAUGAAGAUUGGAGUGGCGAUUUUCUUCAUCUUGUGUUUUAUUUCUAAUUUUAUGUUUAUUUCCUAAAAAAAAAAAAUCAAAGCAAUCGGUUCUGCACUCCCUACAUCUACCUGUUUGGCAUUUUUUAAUUGGGCCCAUUUAAAUAAAAUUGAGAAUGGAAAUGGGGAAUGUGUCAAAGAGACAAUAACCCGACCAAAUAAAAAACAACAGCAGAGGGUCACCAACAGGUCUUCAAUGUAGCGAGAAAUUCCCGCACCCGGAGGCGUCCUUCAGCUGGCCCCUAAACAAAUAUAUACUAGUCCAGUGAUAAUGAACGCCAUACUAAUUUCCAAAUUGUACACAAGAAACUAAAAUUAAACAAUACAAGACUAACAAAGGCCAGAGGCUCCUGACUUGGGACAGGCGCAAAAAUGCGGCGGGGUUAAACAUGUUUGUGAGAUCUCAACCCUCCCCCUAUACCUCUAACCAAUGUAGAAAAGUAAACGCAUAACAAUACGCACAUUAAAAUUCAGUUCAAGAGAAGUCCGAGUCUGAUGUCAGAAGAUGUAACCAAAGAAAAUAAACAAAAUGACAAUAAUACAUAAAUAACAACAGACUACUGGCAGUUAACUGACAUGCCAGCUCCAGACUUCAAUUAAACUGACUGAAAGAUUAUGAUUUCAUCAUAUGAACAUCAGGCACAAUCCUUCCCGAUAGGAAAACCUUUGUGUACGUCUACUAGUCCCUUUUUCAUUUAUUUUUAAUUUUACACAAGGUAGGUGGGGAACACAUUUAUUUAUAAAUAUUUUACAUUGACUUUUAGUACAGGGAAACGGUUCUGAACUUUUACAGUGCUUAACCAAUACUGUCUGGAAUUUAUCAGUACUCAUAUAAAUGACCAUGAAAUGUGUAAGGGUAUAAUGAAAUUCAAGAGUAGGUCGGAAUGCAGGAAACAGAACUGAAUUAUCACUUUUUUUAAUUUGACCUUGGAAAAAGUUCGCGAACCGAAGCAAAAGUAUUUUAACAGAAGCUCUUAUAAAAUGUAAACAAUGAUAAAGCUAACAUGUGCAAACUAAAACCAUAUAAGGCCACUCAAAAUUAAAUAUUUGUCUUUAGAAGUUUAUUGUUGAAAAUUUAGUGCGAGCGCGCGUCAUUUAUUUUUAAUAUUUGUGUUUAAUAAAUUAAUAUUAAGCAAGCGAUGCCUAGACUGUAUGAGAUAAAGCGUUUUAAUUAAUUUUAUCCUAAAUAACUUCAGUUUUCAGGAGCAAGAAUUGAUAUUUUUACCGCAAUAUCAUUGUGUUUUUUUGUGAAUUGUGAAGCUAGCUAUUUCAUUUUACAAUAUAGCAUUACAUUUUGUACCAUGCUGCCAAUAGAGUUUAAGCGGAGCGAUAAAUCAGGGAGAUAUUUUAUUAGGAAUUUCUUUAGAGUAACCUUAUAUGUAUUAUACAAAACUAUUAAAGAAUGAAAAUUAAGCAUUUUUUUGAAAUCAAUACAUGUUUAUUGUAGUUUUUAUUAUUGAAAUCAAUACAUGUUUAUUGUAGUUUUGUUUAUUGAAAUCAAUACAUGUUUAUUGUAGUUUUUAUUAUUGAAAUCAAUACAUGUUUAUUGUAGUUUUGUUUAUUGAAAUCAAUACAUGUUUAUUGUAGUUUUGUUUAUUGAAAUCAAUACAUGUUUAUUGUAGUUUUGAGAACUGAUGGAUUUGGGGAAGAAAAGUUUUAUCAUUGUUUUGUAGCAGAACUAAAAGGUAAGUCUAUCGUUUUUUUUUAUUACUUACUCGAUGUUUACACAAACAGCCACCGAAGGACAUACACAAGUCACUAUAUAUUUUUUAACCAGGUUGACAGGCUUCAAAUGUAUCAAUCAAAUGUUAAAGAUAUCUAUUUUCAAGGACUUAACACCCAUUGAUGUAAUCGAGGCAAUUGCCUCAGUGAUUUAUUUUCAUAAUUAUAGUGGUUUAAGAAAAAAACACUAUACAAGUUUCAAAGCAUAUGUGAUAUUUUAUAUAAACCACUCCAAACAUUAGAUAAUUUGUAUACCAGAUUUGUGUGCAUAUUUCGACAUGAAAUGUUUUAUUCAUUAUGAUCGAGGCCAACAUAUAUAUAUUUGAAAUCCAAAACGCAUUAAAAUAUAAAGAGCUUUAUAUAACCCAAAAAAUACAAUACGUGUAGCAAAGCCUGACUAAGAGUCAUAGCAUUGCACUAGAAAGAUGUAAUAACAUCCACUCUAAACAUAUGUGGCACUUCAGGUAAACCCCUUCAAACAUAUGUGCUAAUUCAGAUAAUACUUCCAUGUUCAGAUCAACCACAAAAAAAUAAUAAUGUACUAUUUCAGAUAAACCACUACUAGUCGGGUAUGCUUUGUAUUAUUACUCCUACUCUACGUGGGAGGGUAGGAGUAUUUACAUGGAAGAUUUGUAUGUAAAACCGGAAUUUAGAGGGAAAGGAAUCGGAACACAACUUUGGAAAUCGGUUACAAAGGUAAUCCUGUGAUUCUCAAAAUGCGCGGAACAAUAUCCUAAAUGAAAUAGGAUUUUGAAAAUUAUUUAAGAUAAAGUGUAUGUAAGAAUAUUAUAUAAUAGUGUUCUUCGCCAUAUUUCCAGAUUUAUUGAAUACAACAGAGUUUAAAACUUAAAAAAUGAAAGAAUUAUAAAUUAAACAUUUACAUAAUGAAAUAUUGUUUUAUAAAUUAUAUCCUUUAUUCAUAAGAAUAUAUCGUAUGAUUAAAAUAAAAAAUUGGGUAAACGUCACACGAAAAGCAUCUUUUUAGCAAUACAAAGUAAAAAAAGAAACACCUUUAAACGACACCAAUAACAACAAUAUACAAUAUGUUUAGGUCAUAUUAGCCUCGACUUUAGUGAAGAACAAUUAAUACAAUUAAACAGAGACUCAAAGAUCUAACCAGCCUUUGCUCAUCUCAUCUCACACUCAGUUAUCUAACCAGCCUUUGCUCAUCUCAUCUCACACUCAGUUAUCUAACCAGCCUUUGCUCAUCUCAUCUCACACUCAGUUAUCUCAGUUAUCUAACCAGCCUAUGCUGAUCUCAUCUCACACUCAGUUAUAUAACCAGCAUUUGCUCACCUCAUCUCACACUCAGUUAUCUAACCAGCCUUUGCUCAUCUCAUCUAACACUCAGUUAUCUAACCAGCCUUUGCUCAUCUCAUCUCACACUCAGUUAUCUAACCAGCCUUUGUCUAUUUUAUCUCAGAAACUCAAUGAUACAUUUAUAACCAGAAUUCGUCCAUCUUAUCACAGAAACUUUAAAGAUUUAACCAGCAUGUGUCGAACUCCGAAACAGCGGUUAUGUCCUCUUUACUACGCUACGUUGAUAGUUUAGCGAAGCAACGUCACCACUGUUUCGGAGUUUGAGCAUGUGUCCGCCUUGUCUCGGAACCAGUCUACAAUGAUCAUCCAGCCUUCGUUCAUCUGAUCUCAGAUUCUAAGUGAUAAAAUAAGAUGUACAUGGAAUGCCGUAAUACUUGAAACCGUUAUAAUAUAGAUGCAACUACUUAUCAUAUAGAAAAUGCUAGUUGUCUCUGUAAACAAGGUCGAUGUGCUCACUUAACGUCUAAUCUCAUGCAUUCAGCAUUUACCCAUAGCAAAUUGUGUUUUACGCAUUUAAAACAAAAUAAGCGUUCUAUAAACACGUUUUAGAAAUUCUAGAUUUUUUUUAUAACCGUAGUUAAAUCGAAAAAAAAACAUUCAUUCCUUUUUUAAAUUUCAGGUAGGAAUCGAGAAGCCACUACACGAAAAGGCAGAUUUACAACAAUUUGGGCAAUCAUGUAAAUGUUUGACAAAUGUAACUACUUUUCUGCCAGAUAUAUUUGCGGACC
rnacentral:lncRNA from 1 species